GAUGAAAACGUAGCGAAAUGCGAUACUUGGUGUGAAUUGCAGAAUCCCGUGAACCAUCGAGUCUUUGAACGCAAGUUGCGCCCGAAGCCAUUAGGCCGAGGGCACGCCUGCCUGGGCGUCACACGUCGUUGCCCCCCCAUCUACUCCUUCGGGAUUGCGGGGGGCGGAUGAUGGCCUCCCGUGCGCCUCGCCGCGCGGUUGGCAUAAAUGCCAAGUCCUCGGCGACGCACGCCACGACAAUCGGUGGUUGCGAAACCUCGGUUGCCCGUCGUGUGCGGUCGUCGCGCAUCGAGGGCUCGAAAAAAUUGCCGGGUUCCGGCUCGGCUUUCAACGCGACCCCAGGUCAGGCGGGGUUACCCGCUGAAUUUAAGCAUAUCAAUAAGCGGAGGA
rnacentral:misc_RNA from 1 species